GUGAACAGCGGCGCUGUCUUGUUUUCAUCGCGUCAAAACUGUACCAGAACAACCGAUUCCUAAUUUUUCAGGAGAAACUAAGGAUUCAAGACGUCCGAAAGCGAGGGCAGCGAUUUGACAUUUACUUCGCUGCUUGAAAUUGGGCUGCUGGAGAAGUACUGUAAGAGGUGAAAAUGCUGACAUGCAUAGUUCGUUCUAAGAAACUCGGAGAUGGCUCCUUGACUCAAAUUGAAGAAUCGGACUCCGUCAAUGGACCUGGGAAUAAGCAACAAUCUGUCAAAUCUCUGACAGGUCAGCUCAAAGACAUGGCGUUAAAAGCCUCCGGAUCGUACCGAACUUGCAACCCUUGCGCAGGGCCGAUACCG